rnacentral:misc_RNA from 1 species
UCUAAACAUCGCAGUACUUGGCUAACAAAAGGAAGAAGAAAAAUCCUUCUUUUUCUGAACCCUAAUGACCAAUUCACCACUCUUCUCAUGAAACCAUCUUCAACUUUACCUACACAUGUAUUAACCCGCCAUGAAUUUGGGUUUUCUCAUCCAAUUCGAUCUGUAAGUUUUCAUUCUUCUUUUUUUAAUAAUUCGAAUUCAUCAUUUAUGCUGGAAUUGAGGUUCCUCUUUGCUUCUCCCUGAGGAAAUGUUAGAUAAAGUUCUCAACUCAAGCCGAAAAAUGAAGCAGAAUUUUUAAUUGAUUCUCUUUUCUCAGCGGCAAACCAAAAAGUUGUACUUCAAUUUGUUCAUGGGCUCUAUUUUUAGGUUAUUCCUUUCCUAUUAGCCUUGGCCUUGUUUUAGGAGAUGCUUAAAAAUGUUAAAUUUCAUGCUUCAGUUAUUGAUUAGGUCAUCAGAACUAUUACUAUUUAGCUCAUUUCUGGUUAGAUUUUAAAUUUAUAUGGUUACAGAACAAGGGGUUUUUUCUAUAAGACAUAAAAAAACCAUUAAAUAUUGCCAAUUUAAACGGAAAGGAAAUGCAUCCUAUGUAAUUCAUUUGUUUUAUUUUGGGGAGUGUCUUUCUCUAUUGUGAUAAACUUAUUUUUUAGUUCUUGACCAGAUAUUGUGAGUGCUGCUUUAAUGAUGUCUAGACCUAUGCUACUCGUCUUUCUAUUACUUGUACUCAUAAUCACCUCGCAGUUUGAGUGGAGACAACAACUUGUAAAUGACAUUGAUUCCACUCCUGUUGUCAACCAGAAGCAGCAACAGAUAUCAAAGAGGGAAGAAGCUGUAAAGGAGAAGAUUAUCUUAUCACAAGAGAAGAAUAUUUUUAGACUCAACGAACUUGUCCGGAGUCUUCGGCAGCAACUACUGCUGUGCAGGUGCAAUAAUGAGACCACAAAUGGCAUCUCUGGCCCUUUUACUGAACAUGUUAUUGAGGUGGAGCGAGAGCAGAUCCUGGAAGACUAGGAUAGGUUCUUAUGAGCUGUUUUUCAGUGUUUUUAGGUAAUGUUGAAACUGUAAAACUUUUGGUUCAUUGAUAACAGUAUAAAGUUUCUUUUGAAACCGAACUGCAUCUUAUCGUUGUCACUACUCACUAUGUCAGAUGUCUGUUACACAGUGUCCAUAGUCAUUGGCAGACGAAUUAUUUCAGAUAGUGAUUCCUCUUUGUUAGCUUUUGUACCAUCCAGUGUGUUGAGGACCAGUUGUGCAACUGGAUAGUGCCUGUCUGAGCCAGAUUGUGAAAUACUGAAACCAUAACCAGAAGCAUCAGGAGAUGGGGGGGUGUUAAGAGCCUAGGAAUAUUUAUCCUUGCUGCAUGGUUUUCUUUGUAAGAGCUAGGGAGGUAAAGACUUGUUGCUCUACACAUAAAGGAAGAUAGAUGUUGAUGAUUAAAUUGCAGUGAAAUUCAAUAUUAAU